UACGGAGGGGGCAAGCGUUGUUCGGAAUUACUGGGCGUAAAGGGCGCGCAGGCGGCUGCUCAAGUCAGGCGUGAAAGGCCUGGGCUCAACCCGGGAAUUGCGCUUGAGACUGGGCUGGCUUGAGUGCGGGAGAGGAUGGUGGAAUUCCCAGUGUAGAGGUGAAAUUCGUAGAUAUUGGGAAGAACACCUAUGGCGAAGGCAGCUCUCUGGGACGGUACUGACGCUGAGACGCGAAAGCGUGGGGAGCGAACAGG
rnacentral:rRNA from 1 species